AGAAUAAAGGUUUUGGAAUAAAUUAAAGAGGAGAUGAGACUGACGAGCAAAGAUGUGUGAGAGGCAUUUGUUAAUCUCUGAAUCUGAAGAACUUGUUUGAAUUGAAGACGAAGUCUUGCAAGUCUCGAAGCUGCCAUUUUUGAUACCUUAAGCCAAAGCAUAUUAUCUCCUGGAAGCUAUCACAUGGAUGCUGCCAUUGCUUUAAUGCUCAGAGGAGCUUUAUUGAUAAUCUUAUUGGCCAUAUCAAUUUCCAGAGCCAUCAGAUUCAUCUCUCCUUCACCUUGUCAUAGCCAACUUGCUUCUGUUGAUGAUAGUUCUAAAGAUCAUGUUGUUUCAACUUCUAAGGUUUCUUCUUGUACUACUGAGUACGAUGUAUUCCUUAGCUUUCAUGGGGAAGACACUAGCCACAAUUUUGUGAGUUAUCUCUACAAAGUACAAAGAACUUCGCAAUGCAAACAUUCAUACUUUUAUGGACCACAAACUUGGAAAAGGAGAACAAAUCGCACCAGUUCUUUUGAGAACAAUAGAGCAAUCAAUAAUAUCUAUCAUUUUUUUCUCCAAGGAUUAUGCUUCUUCGACAUGCUAUAUGGAUGAGCUUGUUCACGUUUUGAAAUGCAAGGAUAAAUAUGAAAGGAAUUUCCUCCCUAUUUUCUACAACGUAGAUCCAUCAAAUAUUCGGAAACAAAGUGGGAGUUUUGGAGAUGGA